GGAGCAGAGCACUUGGGGUCCCCUGCACCAUGGCCUGGCCUCUUGUCUGCCUCUUCCUGCUCACUGUCUGCUUAGGUUCCUUUUCCCAGCCUGUGCUGGCUCAGUCACCCUCCAUGUCUGCAUCCCUGGGAGCCACAGCCAAACUCUCCUGCUCCCUGAGCAGUCAGCACAGCAGCUACACUAUUGAAUGGUACCAGCAGAGCCCAGGGAAGGCCCCUCGGUAUAUCAUGUGGGUAAAAAGUAAUGGAAGUGCAGGCAGGGGCGAUGGGAUCCCUGAUCGCUUCUCUGGCUCUGCCUCUGGGGCCAACAGAUAGUUGUCCAUCAGCAACAUCCAGCCUGACAAUGAGGCCGAUUAUUACUGUGGAGCAGAUUAUG